AGAGUUUGAUCCUGGCUCAGGACGAACGCUGGCGGCGUGCUUAACAAAUGCAAGUCGAACGAAGGUUAUAGCAAUAUAAUCUUAGUGGCGGACUGGUGCGUAACGCGUGGGCAACCUGCCUCAUACAGGGGAAUAACACUGGGAAACUAGUGCUAAUACCGCAUAACACAGCACUAUGGCAUCAUAGAGUUGUCAAAGGA
rnacentral:rRNA from 1 species